GCUCCUUGCAGCCCUUCUGGCAGGGCAGCACCACAAGCAUACGGGUCGCUGCUGCCUGCGCUGCUGCCUGCGCUGCUGCCUGCGCUGGUAGAGAGAAACAAGAACACGGAGCAGCUGGAGCAAGAACCCCAGUUUUAGCCCUGUUAGCAAGUAAUUUCUCUCUAUGUUUAAUCAAGAUAGCAAGCGGUGGUGAUGAAAAGGACAUUUUCCUCUGCGUGCAUGGAUUUUAUCAGCGUUUCUUUGAACAUCUUAGGGGCCAAAAGCAAACAAAACGUAAGCCACCCACAUGAGAAGAGUUCAAUAUGUUUCUCUGCUGCACAGCUUGGCUUAGGUACAUGGACAUCUGAUGUGGACGCGACCACCACCUGGAUUUCGAAGCUGUUUGAAAUACGAGCGUGUCUGGGUUUGAAUUUCACAAAUAAAGCAGCCGUGGACAAGGCUUGUUGCUGGUGCUGAUGACCACGUUCGCUAGAACUAAACUGAAAGAUUUGGUUGCAAACUAACAAAUGGGCAGACCAGUCACCUGCUGGUCGCUGCACCAUCCCAGCCCCAGCUCCUGUGGAAGCCCUGCUGAGAGGGCUCAGACUGCCCAGGGAAAAUGAAUGCUGCCCCUUACCAUGGCCCCCAUGCUUAACCUGUGCCCUGAGCCCUUCCCUGCACUGGGGGCUUCCCGCAGAAACCCCGGCUUCCCGGAGCUCUGCACGCCCCUGCCUCAUCUUUCCAGAUAAACUGUGGCAAAAUCUGAAGCUGUGGCAGAAUCUGAAGCCAAGGCAGAGUCUGGAGCUGCCCGCCCAGCUGAAAGGCGGCAUGGUGCAGGGCACUGGUCUGGCCAGCACAAAAUAGACUUAUUUCAUGACAGCGACGGUUCUGAUCCACGUGCGUGUCCGGGCCCGAGUGUCCUAACCCUGAGCAUGGCCCACAAGUCCGUAUUUCAUAGCAGGGACACAAGUGUGAAAAAAUAAUCAUGAAAUGCCACUAGAAUAACCGCAUCAGAUCCAGCCCCUCGAGCUGCAUCUGUUACGCUUUAUUUCUCAAAAUGCUGAAACAAGAGAUCCAGGUACUGUUCUCCGCAAUGGCUAUUUGCCAGAUUGGCUCCAGUUGCCCCUGACAGCAUGACCAAUGCAAGCACACAGUCCUACGUUGCGCUCGCCUUGCAAGCGCGCAGCAGCAGCCGCGUCGAGGUCGCCCUUUGGGGCGCCCGUGGCCGAAGCGGUGCCUGGCGGAGGGGCUGCGCCGGGCUCUGGGGACAGGCAGCCCUGGCUGCCAUUCGCAGCAGGAGCAGUCCCUGCAGUUGGGGCUGCGAGGCCCGGGGGGGCUGUGGGCGAUGCCCCCACCCCAGGGGAGGAGCAGCCUCUGCCACCCUGCACUCCCCCAAGCGCCUGACGGAGCCCAGUUCCAGCGAGUGCUCAAAACUGGAGGAAAAGAAAGGGUGAAAGCGUGAGUGUUGCACACAGCCGUGUCAACCCUCCUCCAGCCUUCCUGGAAGCCCACCGGAGUUCACCCCUCAGCCCAAGCCUGGCACAUGUUGUCUGAUGGGCCCAGGCCGUGCACCAGGGUGCUGCGGGUGCGGA